ACACCUGGCAUACUUAGUACGGCGAGUGAAGCGGUAAAAGCUCAAAUUUGAAAUCUGGUACUUUCAGUGCCCGAGUUGUAAUUUGUAGAAUUUGUCUUUGAUUAGGUCCUUGUCUAUGUUCCUUGGAACAGGACGUCAUAGAGGGUGAGAAUCCCGUUUGGCGAGGAUACCUUUUCUCUGUAAGACUUUUUCGAAGAGUCGAGUUGUUUGGGAAUGCAGCUCAAAGUGGGUGGUAAAUUCCAUCUAAAGCUAAAUAUUGGCGAGAGACCGAUAGCGAACAAGUACAGUGAUGGAAAGAUGAAAAGAACUUUGAAAAGAGAGUGAAAAAGUACGUGAAAUUGUUGAAAGGGAAGGGCAUUUGAUCAGACAUGGUGUUUUUUGCAUGCACUCGCCUCUCGUGGGCUUGGGCCUCUCAAAAAUUUCACUGGGCCAACAUCAAUUCUGGCAGCAGGAUAAAUCAUUAAGAAUGUAGCUACUUCGGUAGUGUUAUAGCUUUUUGGAAUACUGUUAGCCGGGGAUUGAGGACUGCGCUUCGGCAAGGAUGUUGGCAUAAUGGUUAAAUGCCGCCCGUCUGAAACCAAGGGCAAAAAAAAAACCACCCCCCCCCCUACCCCAAAAAAAAGAAAAAACCCCAAAAACACUUAAA
rnacentral:rRNA from 1 species